UACGUAGGGGGCGAGCGUUGUCCGGAUUCAUUGGGCGUAAAGAGCUCGUAGGCGGUUCGCUAAGUCAGGUGUGAAAUCUCCACGCUCAACGUGGAGGGGCCACCUGAUACUGGCGUGACUCGAGUCCGGUAGGGGAGUGUGGAAUUCCCGGUGUAGCGGUGAAAUGCGCAGAUACCGGGAGGAACACCAGUGGCGAAGGCGGCACUCUGGGCCGGAACUGACGCUGAGGAGCGAAAGCGUGGGGAGCGAACAGG
rnacentral:rRNA from 1 species